rnacentral:rRNA from 1 species
UGGGGAAUAUUGCACAAUGGGCGCAAGCCUGAUGCAGCCAUGCCGCGUGUAUGAAGAAGGCCUUCGGGUUGUAAAGUACUUUCAGCGGGGAGGAAGGUGUUGAGGUUAAUAACCUCAGCAAUUGACGUUACCCGCAGAAGAAGCACCGGCUAACUCCGUGCCAGCAGCCGCGGUAAUACGGAGGGUGCAAGCGUUAAUCGGAAUUACUGGGCGUAAAGCGCACGCAGGCGGUCUGUCAAGUCGGAUGUGAAAUCCCCGGGCUCAACCUGGGAACUGCAUUCGAAACUGGCAGGCUAGAGUCUUGUAGAGGGGGGUAGAAUUCCAGGUGUAGCGGUGAAAUGCGUAGAGAUCUGGAGGAAUACCGGUGGCGAAGGCGGCCCCCUGG